GACCUCAUAUCAGACAAGA
rnacentral:rRNA from 1 species